rnacentral:tRNA from 1 species
GCGAGAGUAAUUCAGUGGCAGAAUGCAAGCUUCCCAAGCUUGACGUCGCGGGUUCAAUCCCCGUCUCUCGCUCCA